rnacentral:rRNA from 1 species
AUUGAACGCUGGCGGCAGGCCUAACACAUGCAAGUCGAACGAGUGGCGGACGGGUGAGUAAUGUAUGGGAAACUGCCCGAUGGAGGGGGAUAACUACUGGAAACGGUAGCUAAUACCGCAUACCAUCGGAUGUGCCCAGAUGGGAUUAGCGAGUAGGUGGGGUAACGGCUCACCUAGGCGACGAUCCCUAGCUGGUCUGAGAGGAUGACCAGCCACACUGGAACUGAGACACGGUCCAGACUCCUACGGGAGGCAGCAGUGGGGAAUAUUGCACAAUGGGCGCAAGCCUGAUGCAGCCAUGCCGCGUGUGUGAAGAAGGCCUUCGGGUUGUAAAGUACUUUCAUCGAGGAGGCGUUACUCGCAGAAGAAGCACCGGCUAACUCCGUGCCAGCAGCCGCGGUAAUAC